rnacentral:lncRNA from 1 species
AUGGAGAGGUCAACAAUUACAGGUUCUUGUUUCCCUCUCAUUAUAUUCCUUUACUUCUUUUCAAAGCAUGACACAGAAAUUGCCAUGAGAUGGAGAAUAAUCAGUCGUCAGAAGAAAAUAGAAGACCAACUCUUACAGCUGAGUAGAAGGGAGGCAUAUGUAAGGAUUUACUAUCCAGUGGCUCUGGCAAGCUACACCAGAUCACCCUUACGUACUGGGCAGGACAUCAAAAGACUCUUUCUACAAAUGGAGCUAUGGAGCCUCCCUGGACACACAGACCCAUCCCUGCAGGGCUGCCUUACAUAUCAGAAAUGUCCAACAUGGACUGCACGGG